rnacentral:rRNA from 1 species
UACGUAGGGUGCAAGCGUUGUCCGGAAUUAUUGGGCGUAAAGAGCUCGUAGGUGGCCUGUCGCGUCGGCUGUGAAAACUCGGGGCUCAACUCCGAGCUUGCAGUCGAUACGGGCAGGCUAGAGUUCGGCAGGGGAGACUGGAAUUCCUGGUGUAGCGGUGGAAUGCGCAGAUAUCAGGAGGAACACCGGUGGCGAAGGCGGGUCUCUGGGCCGAUACUGACACUGAGAGCGAAAGCGUGGGGAGCGAACAGG